rnacentral:rRNA from 1 species
AAACGACUCUCGGCAACGGAUAUCCCGGCUCUCGCAUCGAUGAAGAACGUAGCGAAAUGCGAUACUUGGUGUGAAUUGCAGAAUCCCGUGAACCAUCGAGUUUUUGAACGCAAGUUGCGCCCGAUGCCAUUAGGCUGAGGGCACGUCUGCCUGGGUGUCABGU